UACGAAUCGUGCGAACGUUGUUCGGAAUCACUGGGCAUAAAGGGCGCGUAGGCGGCUUAUCAAGUCAGGGGUGAAAUCCGGCAGCUCAACUGUCGAAGUGCCUUUGAUACUGAUGAGCUAGAGGGAGAUAGGGGUAUGCGGGACUUCCGGUGGAGCGGUGAAAUGCGUUGAUAUCGGAAGGAACGCCGGUGGCGAAAGCGGCGUACUGGAUCUCUUCUGACGCUGAGGCGCGAAAGCUAGGGGAGCAAACGGG
rnacentral:rRNA from 1 species